rnacentral:misc_RNA from 1 species
UUUUUUUAACUUUAUAAAAGAAAUAUAUAAUUUUAUAGAAGAAAAGUCAAAUGCACUAAAGUAGUUAUAUGGCAUUAAAGAUAAGAAAAGUCCAUACAUCAUGGUCCAGGAAUUAGCUUAGCAUUUGAGGUUCUAUUCAAACACCAGAGAAAGAAAAUGCUACAUAGAGAUUUAUACUUCUAACAGAAUGAACCUCAACACAAACUUCCCACCCAUCUAGAAGGCCACUACCUCAAAUACCCCCAACCCAAAGCGGCCCAAAAAAAGGAAAAAAACCAUGAAACUACUUACUACAUUUGUUAUGCCA